rnacentral:rRNA from 1 species
AGCGAACGCUGGCGGCAGGCCUAACACAUGCAAGUCGAGCGCCCCGCAAGGGGAGCGGCAGACGGGAGAGUAACACGUGGGAACGUACCCUUCGGUUCGGAACAACCCAGGGAAACUUGGGCUAAUACCGGAUACGUCCGAAAGGAGAAAGAUUUAUCGCCGAGGGAUCGGCCCGCGUCUGAUUAGCUAGUUGGUGGGGUAAUGGCCCACCAAGGCGACGAUCAGUAGCUGGUCUGAGGGGAUGAUCAGCCUCACUGGGACUGAGACACGGCCCAGACUCCUACGGGAGGCAGCAGUGGGGAAUAUUGGACAAUGGGCGCAAGCCUGAUCCAGCCAUGCCGCGUGGGUGAUGAAGGCCCUAGGGUUGUAAAGCCCUUUCGGCGGGGAAGAUAAUGACGGUACCCGCAGAAGAAGCCCCGGCUAACUUCGUGCCAGCCGCCGCUGUAAUAC